rnacentral:lncRNA from 1 species
CCCUUUGUCCAAGUGCCUUAUAACAUGUCUUUAUAACUGGCUGUGUAAGAAUGAAGAAAAGCUGUCCAUCUUCUGAGAAGGUGCUCAGUUUUAGGAGUGGAGAACAGGGGCCACGGAAAAUACAUUGCUCCCCAGCUCCCAGCUCUCUUUACUUUCUCCCAGGAAGCAGCAUGUGCCAUCCUUCUGUCAGAAAACACCAAAGAGAUGAAGAAAUGAGAAAUCCAGAAACCAAAGACCUUGCUCUUUUGUCAAACAGACUUGGUAGAGCAGAGUUGCAAAAUCAGACCUUUGGGGGCUUGCGUGUUUCUCCUCUUACUCCCUGGUGUAGAAGCCCUGCCUUGAACUUCAGGCUGCCUGGCUUGGAUCCUGAUGCUGCUUUGCUGACACAAUCCAUUCUCCCAGGGAACACCCAGAGUUCCACUCCAGCCCUGGCAACGCUGCAGCAGAGUAGGCCAACUGUACGGAAAGUCUACAUUGGCUCGGAACAAUUGAGGCUGGGAGAGGGUAUCACAGCAAUUUCCCCACAUCCAUUCCAGCUGGUGAUUUCCUGCUUGGUCGUCUUUUAAAACCCAGCCAUCUGAAUCCGAGAGUUGCUUCUUCAGCAAGGCCUCCCCUGACUCCUUCAGAUGUCUAAGCACCACCCCUACUCUUCUGCUGCAGCAUCUCCACUUGCUUUUGUCCUUCAUCUCCCUGAAAUUAUUUGCUUACUCAUCCAUCCAUGUCAGUUGCAAAAGCAUGACUUCCUCUAGUCCAAAGGCCAUUCAUGUUCAAUAUGUUAGCACUCGGAGCGUCUCCAGUGGUUGUUUCAAACAAGGCAAAUGAGUUCAGUUGAACUUUAUAUGUUCUGCCCUCCGACUGUGACUGUUAUUUACUUCCCUCCAAACAAAAUGUAAUAAUAAAAUGACUAACUGAA